rnacentral:rRNA from 1 species
AUUGAACGCUGGCGGUAUGCUUAACACAUGCAAGUCGAACGGUAACAGGCCUUCGGGCGCUGACGAGUGGCGGACGGGUGAGUAACGCGUAGGAAUCUGCCUCAUAGUGGGGGACAACGUGGGGAAACUCACGCUAAUACCGCAUACGCCCUACGGGGGAAAGCGGGGGAUCUUCGGACCUCGCGCUAUGAGAUGAGCCUGCGUUAGAUUAGCUAGUUGGUAGGGUAAAGGCCUACCAAGGCGACGAUCUAUAGCUGGUCUGAGAGGACGAUCAGCCACACUGGGACUGAGACACGGCCCAGACUCCUACGGGAGGCAGCAGUGGGGAAUAUUGGACAAUGGGCGCAAGCCUGAUCCAGCAAUACCGCGUGUGUGAAGAAGGCCUUAGGGUUGUAAAGCACUUUCAAUUGGGAGGAAAACCUGCCGGUCAAUACCCGGCAGCUUGACAUUACCUUUAGAAGAAGCACCGGCUAACUCCGUGCCAGCAGCCGCGGUAAU